rfam:Gossypium hirsutum cultivar TM-1 chromosome 22, whole genome shotgun sequence
AUGCCAUGAUGAGGACACUUCCGCAAUAACUCCUUGAAUCGCUCCCAUGCCUCAUAUAGAGAUUCUUCAUCAAGUUGUUGAAAUAAGGUAAUUUCAUUGCAAAGCUU